UCGAGAAUUUUUCACAAUGGGCGAAAGCCUGAUGGAGCGACGCCGCGUGGGGGAUGAAUGGCUUCGGUCCGUAAACCCCUGUCAUUCGGGAACAAUGCCUGCGGAAUAACACUUCGCAGGUUGAUAGUACUGGAAGAGGAAGGGACGGCUAACUCUGUGCCAGCAGCCGCGGUAAUACAGAGGUCCCAAGCGUUGUUCGGAUUCACUGGGCGUAAAGGGUGCGUAGGUGGCCGGGUAAGUCUGAUGUGAAAUCUCGAAGCUUAACUUCGAAACUGCAUCGGAUACUACUUGGCUAGAGGUCUGGAGGGGGGACUGGAAUUCUCGGUGUAGCAGUGAAAUGCGUAGAUAUCGAGAGGAACGCCAAUGGCGAAGGCUAGUCCCUGGACAGAUCCUGACACUGAGGCACGAAAGCUAGGGGAGCAAACAGG
rnacentral:rRNA from 1 species